CUACAUAUCAAUAAGCGGAGGAAAAGAAACCAACAGGGAUUGCCCUAGUAACGGCGAGCGAAGCGGCAACAGCUCAAAUUUGAAAUCUGGCUACUUUGUAGUCCGAGUUGUAAUUUGUAGAGGAUGCUUUUGGUGAGGUGCCUUCCGAGUUCCCUGGAACGGGACGCCAGAGAGGGUGAGAGCCCCGUACGGUUGGAUACCAAACCUUUGUAUAGCUCCUUCAACGAGUCGAGUAGUUUGGGAAUGCUGCUCUAAAUGGGAGGUAUAUCUCUUCUAAAGCUAAAUAUAGGCUAGAGACCGAUAGCGCACAAGUAGAGUGAUCGAAAGAUGAAAAGCACUUUGAAAAGAGAGUUAAACAGCACGUGAAAUUGUUGAAAGGGAAGCGCCUAUGACCAGACUUGUUUCUUUCAGUUUUGUUAGUUCUCGGACUGAUUUACUCUGUUAGUACAGGCCAGCAUCAGUUUGUUGUCGGGGAGAAAGGCUUAGGGAAUGUGGCUCCUUCGGGAGUGUUAUAGCCCUUUGCAUAAUACCCUUCGGCAGACUGAGGACCGCGCUUCGGCAAGGAUGCUGGCGUAAUGGUCAUCAGCGACCCGUCUUGAAACACGGACCAAGGAGUCAACCUUAUGUGCGAGUGUUUGGGUGUAAAACCCCAGCGCGUAAUGAACGUGAACGUAGGUGAGAGCUUCGGCGCAUCAUCGACCGAUUCUGAUGUUCUCGGAUGGAUUUGAGUAAGAGCACACAGGGUUGGACCCGAAAGAAGGUGAACUAUGCUUGUAUAGGGUGAAGCCAGAGGAAACUCUGGUGGAGGCUCGCAGCGGUUCUGACGUGCAAAUCGAUCGUCAAAUAUGAGCAUGGGGGCGAAAGACUAAUCGAACCUUCUAGUAGCUGGUUCCAGCCGAUUUCCCCCUCCAGAA
rnacentral:rRNA from 1 species